rnacentral:rRNA from 1 species
GCGCCAGCGGCACAGCUGGGUAGCCAUGUUCGGAUGGGAUAAGCGCUGAAGGCAUCUAAGCGCGAAGCCCACCUCAAGAUGAGAUUUCCCAUAGCGUUAAGCUAGUAAGACCCCUGGAAGAACACCAGGUUGAUAGGCCAGAGGUGUAAGCGUCGUAAGGCGUUUAGCUGACUGGUACUAAUAGGUCGAGGGCUUGAUCAU